GAGACGUUAUUUUACGGAUCAAUUUAAAUAUUUUUAUGCCCCCCUUCGAAGAAGAGGGGGUAUAUUGCUUUGCUCAUGUCGGUCUGUCGGUAGGUCCGUCCACCAGGUGGUUUCCGGAUGAUAACUUAAGAACGCUUGGGCCUAGGAUCAUGAAACUUCAUAGGUUCAUUGAUCAUGACUCGCAGAUGACCCCUAUUGAUUUUGAGGUCACUAGGUCAAAGGUCAAGGUGACCCGAAAUAGUAAAAUGGGUCUGUCGGUAGGUCCGUCCACCAGGUGGUUUCCGGAUAACUCAAAAACACUUGGGCCUAGGAUCAUGAAACUUCAUAGGUACAUUGAUCAUGACUCGAAGAUGACCCCUAUUGAUUUUGAGGUCACUAGGUCAAAGGUCACGUUGACCCGAAAUAGUAAAAUGGUUUCCGGAUGAUAACUCAAGAACGCUUAGGCCUAGGAUCAUGAAACUUGAUAGGUAGAUUGAUCAUGACUCGCAGAUGACCCCUAUUGAUUUUCAGGUCACUAGGUCAAAGGUCAAGGUCACAGUGACCCGAAAUAGUAAAAUGGUUUCCGGAUGAUAACUCAAGAACGCUUAGGCCUAGGAUCAUGAAACUUGAUAGGUAGAAUGAUCAUGACUCGCAGAUGACCCCUAUUGAUUUUCAGGUCAAAGGUCAAGGUCACAGUGACCCGAAAUAGUAAAAUGGUUUCCGGAUGAUAACUCAAGAACGCUUAUGCCUAGGAUCAUGAAACUUCGUAGGUAGAUUGAUCAUGGCUGGCAGAUGACCCCUAUUGAUUUUCAGGUCACUAGGUCAAAGGUCAAGGUCACUGUGACCCGAAAUAGUAAAAUGGUGUCCGGUUGAUAACUCAAGAACGCUUAUGCCUAGGAUCAUGAAACUUCAUAGGUACAUUGAUCAUGACUCGCAGAUGACCCCUUUUGAUUUUCAGGUCACUAGGUCAAAGGUCAAGGUCACGAUGACCCGAAAUAGUAAAAUGGUUUCCGUAUGAUAACUCAAGAACGCUUAUGCCUAGGAUCAUGAAACUUCAUUGAUAUAUUAAUCAUGACUAGCAGUUGACCCCUAUUGAUUUUCAGGUCACUAUAUCAAAGGUCAAGGUCACGUUGACCUGAAAUAGUAAAAUGGUUUCCGGAUGAUAACUCAAGAACGCUUAUGCCUAGGAUCAUGAAACUUCAUAGGUACAUUGAUCAUGACUCGCAGUUGACCCCUAUUGAUUUUCAGGUCACUAUAUCAAAGGUCAAGGUCACGGUGACCUGAAAUAGUAAAAUGGUUUCCAGAUGAUAACUCAAGAACACUAAUGGCUACGAUCAUGAAACUUCAUAUGUACAUUGAUCAUGACUCGCAGAUGACCCCUAUUGAUUUUGAGGUCACUAGGUCAAAGGUCAUGGUGACCCGAAAUAGUAAAAUGGUUUCCGGAUGAUAACUCAAAAACGCUUAUGCCUAGGAUCAUGAAACUUCAUAGGUACAUUGAUCAUGACUCGCAGAUGACCCCUAUUGAUUUUCAGGUCACUAGGUCAAAGGUCAAGGUCACGUUGACCCGAAAUAGUAAAAUGGUUUCCGGAUGAUAACUCAAGAACGCUUAGGCCUAGGAUCAUGAAACUUGAUAGGUAGAUUGAUCAUGACUCGCAGAUGACCCCUAUUGAUUUUCAGGUCACUAGGUCAAAGGUCAAGGUCACAGUGACCCGAAAUAGUAAAAUGGUUUCCGGAUGAUAACUCAAGAACGCUUAGGCCUAGGAUCAUGAAACUUGAUAGGUAGAAUGAUCAUGACUCGCAGAUGACCCCUAUUGAUUUUCAGGUCAAAGGUCAAGGUCACAGUGACCCGAAAUAGUAAAAUGGUUUCCGGAUGAUAACUCAAGAACGCUUAUGCCUAGGAUCAUGAAACUUCGUAGGUACAUUGAUCAUGACUCGCAGAUGACCCCUAUUGAUUUUCAGGUCACUAGGUCAAAGGUCAAGGUCACGGUGACCCGAAAUAGUAAAAUGGUUUCCGGAUGAUAACUCAAGAACGCUUAUGCCUAGGAUCAUGAAACUUGAUAGGUAGAUUGAUCAUGACUCGCAGUUGACCCCUAUUGAUUUUCAGGUCACUAUAUCAAAGGUCAAGGUCACGGUGCCCUGAAAUAGUAAAAUGGUUUCCAGAUGAUAACUCAAGAACGCUUAUGCCUAGGAUCAUGAAACUUCAUAGGUACAUUGAUCAUGACUCGCAGUUGACCCCUAUUGAUUUUCAGGUCACUAUAUCAAAGGUCAAGGUCACGGUGACCUGAUAUAGUAAAAUGGUUUCCGGAUGAUAACUCAAGAACGCUAAUGGCUACGAUCAUGAAACUUCAUAUGUACAUUGAUCAUGACUCGCAGAUGACCCCUAUUGAUUUUGAGGUCACUAGGUCAAAGGUCAAGGUCAUGGUGACCCGAAAUAGUAAAAUGGUUUCCGGAUGAUAACUCAAGAACGCUUAGGCCUAGGAUCAUGAAACUUCAUAGGUACAUUGAUCAUGACUGGCAGAUAACCCCUAUCGAUUUUGAGGUCACUAGGUCAAAGGUCAAGUUCACGGUGAUCCGAAAUAGUAAAAUGGUUUCCGGAUGAUA